GACUUAAUAGCUCAUUCAGUAGAGAAUGAGACUCUUCAUCUCAGGAUCAUGGGUACGAGCCCCAUGUUGGACA